AGUGAACGCUGGCGGCGUGCUUAACACAUGCAAGUCGAACGAGAACGGGUUAUAGCUUGCUAUAAUUGUCAGCUAAGUGGCGCACGGGUGAGUAAUGUAUAGGUAAUAUGCCUCUUACUAAGGGAUAACAAAUGGAAACGUUUGCUAAUACCUUAUACUCCUUAUUAACAGAAGUUAAUAAGGGAAAGAUUUAUUGGUAAGAGAUUAGCCUGUAUUGUAUCAGUUAGUUGGUGGGGUAAUGGCUUACCAAGACUAUGACACAUAACUGAUUUGAGAGGAUGAUCAGUCACACUGGAACUGAGACACGGUCCAGACUCCUACGGGAGGCAGCAGUGGGGAAUAUUGCACAAUGGACGGAAGUCUGAUGCAGCAACGCCGCGUGGAGGAUGACACAUUUCGGUGCGUAAACUCCUUUUAUAUGAGAAGAUAAUGACGGUAUUAUAUGAAUAAGCACCGGCUAACUCUGUGCCAGCCGCCGCAGUAAAAC
rnacentral:rRNA from 1 species